GGCACGCCAUCCAUCUGGACUUAAUAGCGCACAGAUGGGUAACGCGUGGGAAUCCACCCCUUGGGUUCCGGAAUACCUGUUAGAAAUGACUGCUAAUACCGGAUGAUGACGAAAAGUCCCAAAGAUUUAUCGCCCAGGGAUGAGCCCGCGUAGGAUUAGGUAGUUGGUGGGGUAAAGGCCUACCAAGCCGACGAUCCUUAGCUGGUCUGAGAGGAUGAUCAGCCACACUGGGACUGAGACACGGCCCAGACUCCUACGGGAGGCAGCAGUGGGGAAUAUUGGACAAUGGGGGAAACCCUGAUCCAGCAAUGCCGCGUGAGUGAUGAAGGCCUUAGGGUUGUAAAGCUCUUUUACCAGGGAUGAUAAUGACAGUACCUGGAGAAUAAGCUCCGGCUAACUCCGUGCCAGCAGCCGCGGUAAUACGGAGGGAGCUAGCGUUGUUCGGAAUUACUGGGCGUAAAGCGCACGUAGGCGGUUAUUCAAGUCAGAGGUGAAAGCCCGGGGCUCAAUCCCGGAACAGCCUUUGAAACUAGAUAACUAGAAUUCUGGAGAGGUCAGUGGGAUUCCGAGUGUAGAGGUGAAAUUCGUAGAUAUUCGGAAGAACACCAGUGGCGAAGGCGACUGACUGGACAGAUAUUGACGCUGAGGUGCGAAAGCGUGGGGAGCAAACAGG
rnacentral:rRNA from 1 species